ensembl:lncRNA
GCCAUUCUGAAUUCACUUCUACUGUUGAACUUGACGAGUGUAGCUGUGUUACCUAAAGAGUUGAACGGUCUGAGGCCCAAUCCCGUGGAAAAUAACCUGUGGAGAAUAAAUUGUUGGAGAACCGACCAAAAGUACUAACGAGUGUUACGUGGAGGAGACGAUGUCUUCCAGUGGACCCCCUGCGGUGGAGCCCCUGCUGAGCAGAGUCAGACGGUGGAUCCUUGCCUUUGCAAGUGAACCCCUCUGGCCCCUGUUCGCUGACCGCCCUGUCGUCCAGAGGGCCCUCGACGACGUGGUUCUUCCGGAUUACGAGGACGAGCUGAAGGAGGCCGAGCCCACCAGAGGGGACGGUGAGCCACAGGUUCCUCCUCCUCCUCCCUUUGCUGCUCCCUACCCUGCUCCCUACUCUCACCCCUAUGCUGCUGCACGCUAUGCUGCUGCUCCCUACCCUGCUCCAUACCCUGCUCCCUAUGCUGCUCCCUCUUCUGCUGCUCCCUUUGCUGCUCCCUACCCUGCUCACUACCUUGCUCCUUACCCUGCUCCCUACUCUCACCCCUAUGCUGCUGCACGCUAUGCUGCUGCUCCCUACCCUGCUCCCUACUCUCACCCCUAUGCUACUGCUCGCUAUGCUGCUGCUCCCUACCCUGCUCCCUAUGCUGCUCCCUAUGCUGCUGCUCCCUUUGCUGCUCCCUACCCUGCUCGCUACGUUGCUCCUUACCCUGUUCCCUACUCUCACGCCUAUGCUGCUGCUCCCUAUGCUGCCGCUCCCUAUGCUGCUCCCUAUGCGGCUCCCUAUGCUGCUGCUCCCUAUGCUUAUGCUUUUGCUGCCUUUGCUGACCUUAACGCUGACCCUCACGCUGACCUUAACGCUGACCCUCACGCUGACCCUCAUGCUGACCUUAACGCUGUCCCUCAUGAUGGUGAUGAUGAUAUGAACGAUGAAAUUAACCGUAUGCUUCAAAGAUACAGGUUAGGGCUCCCCGAUGAGGAGGAGGACUCUGACAUUGAUGUCGUGGGUGAGUUUGCGUUACAGGUCCCUUUACUGGACAUUGAAGACAUCGGGCCAGUGCCCCCAGAAGACUCUUUUGAGGAGCUCCUGGAUGCAGAUGUUCUUGAAUCUCCCUCAACUUCUGGCCUCGACUCUUCGGCAAAACGGCGCAGGGACGAGAGCGACGGGGAGGAGUCUGCUGCGAAGAGGGCGCGUUAGUCUGAAGACAGCGACUCUGAUUGACAAUCCUCUGGGAAGCUUCGGAGCAACCACUGAGUCCACUUGCAGCAGGAACAGUGGUUGCCAUGGUAGCCUUUGCGUCUGGCAGGGCUAGUGUCCCCCAUGUAGCGUCUUGCAUUGGGGCUUUUCUGUAUUAUGUAGUCAUAUUUGCACAAGACAUCGGUCAACCUUUAUUUCAUCCUGAGGCCUUUGCGUCUGGCGGGGCUGUUGACCCCUUCUGCAGGUACUGGUAUCCUUUGCGUCUGGCAGGGCUUGUGUCCCCCAUGUAGCGUCUUGCUCUGGGGCUUUUCUUCUUCUUUGCGCGGUGGAUCGAUCAACUUUUCUUUCAUCCUGACGGCCGGCCUUUGCGACUGGCUUGGCCGGCGCUGCCUCAGGUAGCCUUUGCGUCUGGCAGAGGCGUUGACACGCCGAGCAUGUAGCCUUUGCGUCUGGCAGGGUUGAAGAAGACAAAAAUGCUUUUAUGUCUCGUUUUAUGCCUCCCCCUCCCCCACAGUGUCCACAUUCCUUUACAGGUUAAGAGUGAAGGUAUCAGUGAAAACUGACAAACAACAGAGUAAGUAGAACUCCCAAGGUUAGAAAUGCCUUCAUAUGGCCAAAUAUAGUGUAUGCCGUUAUGGAAAUUCAUAAUAUUCAAAUAUUUAUAAUUACUUCCCAUACUAAUCAUGUUUUUAUCCCAUUUGGCCGUGUGAAAAAGUAAGUACCAGCGUCUGUUUUGUUCAGACAGUGACCUAUAACAUGAAUACAAAGAAGUAAUAUGCAAAGAUAAUUUGCCCGUGCCACUUACCAUUAUGUGUUGUUACCUCUCUCACUUUGCCACCUGAGAUGCUGCUGUUCAAUGUGGACGAAAAAGCUGCUGCUGUUCACCGAGGACCAAAAGGCCGCUACCUCUCGCUGUGGACUAAAAGAUGAGGAGCAGCAAAGGAGGAAGAGCCGGACUCCGGGUUCCUGCAGGACAUCCAGGGCUACACGUUGAACACUAAAAAGAAACGCCCACAUUCCACUCCCAGGACAAGAUGGAGAGCAGCUAAGUUGAACUACUUCCUGUUCUUCUGUUUCAGAGACUCAACUUCCUGCACUACAUCCAGGGUGACCAUGACGACAGAAGACAAUCGCUCACUCCCGACCAGGUGAGAAGGACCGUGACCAGAGGAGAGCUUUAGGCGUCCACGGUUCAGUGGAGGCAGCACUCCUGUUUUAUCCUUUGGAAAUCCUCGUGGUCCUGAGAGUGGAUGUAAACAGAAGUGCAAGCAGCCGUCCACUCAGAACAUUUCUCCACCUCACUGUUUAGAUGAAGAAUUCAAUAAAACACUUCUCAUAGAACCCUUUUGUUUUGGGAGAUUUCUUUGGUUCAAUCUCAUGUUCAUGUGAACCUUUUGGAGCGUUGAAUCGGUCGCAGGUGUCAUGAAAUGCAUCCUGGUUUAAAUGGC